GGCUCAGAACGAACGCUGGCGGCGUGCCUAACACAUGCAAGUCGAACGCGAAAGUCCCGCAAGGGAUCAGUAGAGUGGCAAACGGGUGAGUAACGCGUGGGUGACCUGCCUUCGAGCGGGGGAUAACGUUCCGAAAGGGACGCUAAUACCGCAUGACAUUCCGCCUUUGAACAGGCGGCCAUCAAAGCCGGGGAUCGCAAGACCUGGCACUCGAAGAGGGGCCCGCGUCCGAUUAGCUAGUUGGUGAGGUAACGGCUCACCAAGGAAACGAUCGGUAGCCGGCCUGAGAGGGCGCACGGACACAUUGUCUCUGAAACACGGACCAGACUCUACUGGG
rnacentral:rRNA from 1 species